rnacentral:rRNA from 1 species
UCAAGCGAAUAAGCGCACACGGUGGAUGCCUUGGCGGUCAGAGGCGAUGAAGGACGUGGCAGCCUGCGAAAAGUAUCGGGGAGCUGGCAACAAGCUUUGAUCCGGUAAUGUCCGAAUGGGGAAACCCACCCGCUUGCGGGUAUCCUGCAGUGAAUACAUAGCUGCUGGAAGCGAACCUGGUGAACUGAAAUAUCUAAGUAACCAGAGGAAAAGAAAUCAACCGAGAUUCCGUAAGUAGCGACGAGCGAACGCGGACUAGCCCUUAAGCUGAUUUGGUUCUAGGAAAACGCUCUGGAAAGAGCGGCCAUAGAAGGUGAUAGCCCUGUAUCUGAAAGGGCCAUUUCAGUGAAGACGAGUAGGGCGGGGCACGUGAAACCCUGUCUGAACAUGGGGGGACCAUCCUCCAAGGCUAAAUACUACUGACCGACCGAUAGUGAACCAGUACCGUGAGGGAAAGGCGAAAAGAACCCCGGAGAGGGGAGUGAAAUAGAACCUGAAACCGUGUGCGUACAAGCAGUAGGAGCUCCGCAAGGAGUGACUGCGUACCUUUUGUAUAAUGGGUCAGCGACUUACUGUUCGUGGCAAGCUUAACCGUAUAGGGGAGGCGAAGGGAAACCGAGUCUGAUAAGGGCGCAUAGUCGCGGGCAGUAGACCCGAAACCGGGUGAUCUAGUCAUGCCCAGGGUGAAGGUGCGGUAACACGCACUGGAGGCCCGAACCCACUCCCGUUGCAAAGGUAGGGGAUGAGGUGUGAUUAGGAGUGAAAAGCUAAUCGAACCCGGAGAUAGCUGGUUCUCCUCGAAAGCUAUUUAGGUAGCGCCUCAUAUGUAUCCUCUCGGGGGUAGAGCACUGUUAUGGCUAGGGGGUCAUCGCGACUUACCAAACCAUUGCAAACUCCGAAUACCGAGACGGACUGUAUGGGAGACACACGGCGGGUGCUAACGUCCGUCGUGAAAAGGGAAACAACCCAGACCCACAGCUAAGGUCCCAAAUUCACUGCUAAGUGGAAAACCAUGUGGAAAGGCACAGACAGCCAGGAGGUUGGCUUAGAAGCAGCCACCCUUUAAAGAAAGCGUAAUAGCUCACUGGUCGAGUCGGUCUGCGGGGAAGAUUUAACGGGGCUAAGCAGUGAACCGAAGCUUGGGGUGCAUAACUUUGUUAUGCGCGGUAGAGGAGCGUUCCGUAAGCCGUUGAAGGUGGAUUGAGAAGUCUGCUGGAGGUAUCGGAAGUGCGAAUGCUGACAUGAGUAACGAUAAUGCGGGUGAAAAACCCGCACGCCGAAAGCCCAAGGUUUCCUUGCGCAACGUUAAUCGGCGCAGGGUGAGUCGGCCCCUAAGGCGAGGACGAAAGUCGUAGUCGAUGGGAAGCAGGUUAAUAUUCCUGCACCUCGCGUAAGUGCGAUGGAGGGACGGAGAAGGUUAGGUGUACCAGGCGUUGGUUGUCCUGGGGAAAGGCGGUAGGUUUGGAUCUUUGGCAAAUCCGGGAUCCUUUAAGACCGAGCACCGAGACGAGCCUUUAUGGCAAAGUCACUGAUACCACGCUUCCAGGAAAAGCUCCUAAGCUUCAGCUUACGCAGACCGUACCGUAAACCGACACAGGUGGGUAGGAUGAGAAUUCUCAGGCGCUUGAGAGAACUCGGGUGAAGGAACUAGGCAACAUGGCACCGUAACUUCGGGAGAAGGUGCACCCUUUUUGGUGGCUCGUGCGAGCUAUAGCUGAAGAGGGUCGCAGUAACCAGGCCGCUGCGACUGUUUAUCAAAAACACAGCACUCUGCAAACACGAAAGUGGACGUAUAGGGUGUGACGCCUGCCCGGUGCUGGAAGGUUAAUUGAUGGGGUCAGCCGCAAGGCGAAGCUCUUGAUCGAAGCCCCAGUAAACGGCGGCCGUAACUAUAACGGUCCUAAGGUAGCGAAAUUCCUUGUCGGGUAAGUUCCGACCUGCACGAAUGGCGUAACGACAGCGGCGCUGUCUCCACCCGAGACUCAGUGAAAUUGAAAUCGCUGUGAAGAUGCAGCGUUCCCGUGGCAAGACGGAAAGACCCCGUGAACCUUUACUAUAGCUUUACACUGAACGUUGAGUUCGUCUGUGUAGGAUAGGUGGGAGGCUAUGAAACUGUGGCGCUAGCUGCAGUGGAGCCAUCCUUGAAAUACCACCCUGUCGUGCUUGACGUUCUAACCUGGGCCCAUUAUCUGGGUCGGGGACCGUGUAUGGUGGGUAGUUUGACUGGGGCGGUCUCCUCCUAAAGAGUAACGGAGGAGCUCGAAGGUACGCUCAGCGCGGUCGGACAUCGCGCACUGUGUGCAAAGGCAUAAGCGUGCUUGACUGCAAGAUCGACGGAUCAAGCAGGUAGGAAACUAGGACUUAGUGAUCCGGUGGUUCUGUAUGGAAGGGCCAUCGCUCAACGGAUAAAAGGUACUCCGGGGAUAACAGGCUGAUACCGCCCAAGAGUUCAUAUCGACGGCGGUGUUUGGCACCUCGAUGUCGGCUCAUCACAUCCUGGGGCUGUAGUCGGUCCCAAGGGUAUGGCUGUUCGCCAUUUAAAGUGGUACGCGAGCUGGGUUCAGAACGUCGUGAGACAGUUCGGUCCCUAUCUGCCAUGGGCGUUGGAGAUUUGAGAGGGGCUGCUCCUAGUACGAGAGGACCGGAGUGGACGAACCUCUGGUGUUCCGGUUGUCACGCCAGUGGCAUUGCCGGGUAGCUAUGUUCGGAAGCGAUAACCGCUGAAAGCAUCUAAGCGGGAAGCGCGCCUCAAGAUGAGAUCUCCCGGGGCACAAGCCCCCUGAAGGAACCAUGUAGACUACGUGGUUGAUAGGUCAGGUGUGUAAGUACAGCAAUGUAUUGAGCUAACUGAUACUAAUGAUCCGAGAGGCUUGACCAU